rnacentral:rRNA from 1 species
GACGAACGCUGGCGGCGUGCCUAAUACAUGCAAGUCGAACGCAGUGGGGACGGGUGAGUAACACGUGGGUAACCUCCCAUCAGAGGGGAUAACACUUGGAAACAGGUGCUAAACCGAUACUGAUGGAUGGACCCGCGGUGCAUUAGCGAGUUGGUGAGGUAACGGCUCACCAAGGCCACGAUGCAUAGGCGAACGGAGAGGGGUAUCCGGCACAAUGGGAAUGAGACAAGGCCCAGAAUCCUACGGGAGGGCAGAGUAGGGAAUCUUAGGAAAUGGAAGAAAGGCUGACCGAGGAACGCCGCGUGAGUGAAGAAGGUUUUUGGAUCGUAAAGCUAUGUUUGUAAGGAAGCGGUACUUAACCAGAAAGGGACGGCUAACUACGUGCCAGCAGCCGCGGUAAUUC